rnacentral:rRNA from 1 species
GAUGAACGCUGGCGGCGUGCCUAAUACAUGCAAGUCGAGCGAACAGACGAGGAGCUUGCUCCUCUGACGUUAGCGGCGGACGGGUGAGUAACACGUGGAUAACCUACCUAUAAGACUGGGAUAACUUCGGGAAACCGGAGCUAAUACCGGAUAAUAUAUUGAACCGCAUGGUUCAAUAGUGAAAGACGGUUUUGCUGUCACUUAUAGCUGGAUCCGCGCCGCAUUAGCUAGUUGGUAAGGUUACGGCUUACCAAGGCAACGAUGCGUAGCCGACCUGAGAGGGUGAUCGGCCACACUGGAACUGAGACACGGUCCAGACUACUACGGGAGGCAGCAGUAGGGAAUCUUCCGCAAUGGGCGAAAGCCUGACGGAGCAACGCCGCGUGAGUGAUGAAGGUCUUCGGAUCGUAAAACUCUGUUAUUAGGGAAGAACAAAUGUGUAAGUAACUAUGCACGUCUUGACGGUACCUAAUCAGAAAGCCACGGCUAACUACGUG